rnacentral:rRNA from 1 species
GACGAACGCUGGCGGCGUGCUUAACACAUGCAAGUCGAACGGAAAGGCCCUGCUUUUGUGGGGUGCUCGAGUGGCGAACGGGUGAGUAACACGUGAGUAACCUGCCCUUGACUUUGGGAUAACUUCAGGAAACUGGGGCUAAUACCGGAUAGGAGCUCCUGCUGCAUGGUGGGGGUUGGAAAUUUUCGGCGGUUGGGGAUGGACUCGCGGCUUAUCAGCUUGUUGGUGGGGUAGUGGCUUACCAAGGCUUUGACGGGUAGCCGGCCUGAGAGGGUGACCGGCCACAUUGGGAAUGAGAUACGGCCCAGACUCCUACGGGAGGCAGCAGUGGGGAAUAGUGCACAAUGGGCGGAAGCCUGAUGCAGCAACGCCGCGUGCGGGAUGACGGCCUUCGGGUUGUAAACCGCUUUAGCCUGUGACGAAGCGUGAGUGACGGUAAUGGGUAAAGAAGCACCGGCUAACUACGUG